rnacentral:rRNA from 1 species
GAUGAACGCUGGCGGCGUGCUUAACACAUGCAAGUCGAACGGGGUUUAGGGGCUUGCUCCUAAACUUAGUGGCAAACGGGUGAGUAAUGCAUAAGUAACGUACCCUUCAGACUGGGAUAACAUACCGAAAGGGAUGCUAAUACCGGAUACACUUUAAAGAUCGCAUGGUCUAUAAAGGAAACGAAUUUCGCUGAAGGAGCGGCUUAUGUCUGAUUAGCUAGUUGGUGGGGUGAAGGCCUACCAAGGCGAUUAUCAGUAGCUGGUCUGAGAGGAUGGUCAGCCACACUGGGACUGAGACACGGCCCAGACUCCUACGGGAGGCAGCAGUGGGGAAUAUUGCGCAAUGGGGGAAACCCUGACGCAGCGACGCCGCGUGAGUGACGACGUCUUUAGGGAUGUAAAGCUCUGUCAAGAAGGACGAU